rnacentral:rRNA from 1 species
UACGUAGGGAGCAAGCGUUGUCCGGAAUCAUUGGGCGUAAAGCGCGCGUAGGCGGCCCUGUAAGUCCGUUGUGAAAGUCAAAGGCUCAACCUUUGAAAGCCGAUGGAUACUGCAGGGCUGGAGUCCGGAAGAGGCGAGUGGAAUUCCUGGUGUAGCAGUGGAAUGCGCAGAUAUCAGGAGGAACACCAAUAGCGAAGGCAGCUCGCUGGGACGGUACUGACGCUAAGGCGCGAAAGCGUGGGGAGCGAACAGG